rnacentral:rRNA from 1 species
GAAAGGGCGCACGGUGGAUGCCUUGGCA